ACGAAGGCCCCUCUUCGGAGGGUGUCCUUAGUGGCGGACGGGUGAGUAACACGUGGGAACCUACCUAGCAGUACGGAAUAACUGUGGGAAACUGCAGCUAAUACCGUAUACGCCCCGAGGGGGAAAGAUUUAUCGCUGUUGGAUGGGCCCGCGUCCGAUUAGCUUGUUGGUGGGGUAACGGCCCACCAAGGCGACGAUCGGUAGCUGGUCUGAGAGGAUGAUCAGCCACACUGGGACUGAGACACGGCCCAGACUCCUACGGGAGGCAGCAGUGGGGAAUAUUGGACAAUGGGGGCAACCCUGAUCCAGCCAUGCCGCGUGAGUGAAGAAGGCCUUAGGGUUGUAAAACUCUUUCACCGGGGACGAUGAUGACGGUACCCGGAGAAGAAGCCCCGGCUAACUCCGUGCCGGCAGCCGCGGUAAUACGGAGGGGGCUAGCGUUGUUCGGAAUUACUGGGCGUAAAGCGCGCGUAGGCGGUUUGUCAAGUCAGGCGUGAAAGCCCCAGGCUCAACCUGGGAACUGCGCUUGAUACUGGCUGACUAGAGGCCGGGAGAGGGUAGUGGAAUUCCCAGUGUAGAGGUGAAAUUCGUAGAUAUUGGGAAGAACACCAGUGGCGAAGGCGGCUACCUGGACC
rnacentral:rRNA from 1 species